rnacentral:rRNA from 1 species
CCAAUAGCGUAUAUUAAAGUUGUUGCAGUUAAAAAGCUCGUAGUUGAAUUUCGGGAUCAAUGUUUCGGUCAUGCCGUUGGUAUGUACUGAUAUUAUUGAUUUCUCACCUUCUAAAGAACCGUAAUGCCAUUAAUUUGGUGUCACGAGGAAUUAGGACUGUUACCUUGAAAAAAUUAGAGUGUUUAAAGCAGGCUCACGCUUGAAUACAUUAGCAUGGAAUAAUGAAAUAGGACAUCCGAUUCUAUUUUGUUGGUUUCUAGGAUCGAUGUAAUGAUUAAUAGGGAUAGUUGGGGGCAUUAGUAUUCAAUUGUCAGAGGUGAAAUUCUUGGAUUUAUUGAAGACUAACUACUGCGAAAGCAUUUGCCAAGGAUGUUUUCAUUAAUCAAGAACGAAAGUUAGGGGAUCGAAGACGAUCAGAUACCGUCGUAGUCUUAACCAUAAACUAUGCCGACUAGGGAUCGGAUGAUGUUAAUUUUUUAAUGACUCAUUCGGCGCCUUACG